rnacentral:rRNA from 1 species
UGGGGAAUAUUGCACAAUGGGCGCAAGCCUGAUGCAGCCAUGCCGCGUGUGUGAAGAAGGCCUUCGGGUUGUAAGGCACUUUCAGCGAGGAGGAAGGUGGUGAGCUUAAUACGCUCAUCAAUUGACGUUACUCGCAGAAGAAGCACCGGCUAACUCCGUGCCAGCAGCCGCGGUAAUACGGAGGGUGCAAGCGUUAAUCGGAAUUACUGGGCGUAAAGCGCACGCAGGCGGUUUGUUAAGUCAGAUGUGAAAUCCCCGGGCUCAACCUGGGAACUGCAUUUGAAACUGGCAAGCUAGAGUCUCGUAGAGGGGGGUAGAAUUCCAGGUGUAGCGGUGAAAUGCGUAGAGAUCUGGAGGAAUACCGGUGGCGAAGGCGGCCCCCUGGACGAAGACUGACGCUCAGGUGCGAAAGCGUGGGGCAGCAAACAGGAUUAGAUACCCUGGUAGUCCAGCGCUGUAAAACGAUGUCGAUUUGGAGGUUGUGCCCUUGAGGCGUGGCUCCCGGAGCUAACGCGUUAAAUCGACCGCCUGGGGAGUACGGCCGCAAGGUUAAAACUCAAAUGAAUUGACGGGGUCAUAGCUGUUUCCU